UUCUCAUUCGUCACCGGUUUAGUGAAGAAAGAAAUUAUUUGGGGUUGAAUUGUUUUCUUUUCUUCUCUUCUUCUUCUCAGAGGUCGUCGAACUGGUUUUAUCAAAGAGCUCACAAACGAUAUGGUGAAGUUUUACCAAACGUGUGAUCCUGAGAAGGAGAACUUGUGCCUCUAUGGACUUCCAUGAACCUCUUCGGCCACCAUGAACCUCUUCGUUGUCCUUUCAGCUGUCACCUUCCUCGUUAUCUCCGUCGCCUAUCUUCCUCUGCUCAGCGACUUAUGUAGUCAACGCCUUAUACCAUUCCCAGCUCCCUUCUUCUCAAAUUUGGACUGUUCCCAGCUUUGCCACUCUCAAGAUGCAAAAGAAGGCUCAUGGAUUCUAGGAGGUGGAGGGAACAAUGAUGUUUGGGGAGGAGAAAUGCCCUCUGCAUCAUGGAUUGAUGAAAUUUCCCCUCAUAAUCAUGUUGCAGUCUUAUGUGGCUUUGGGUCAUUCAUCUUGGCUUCACGGUUUGUUUACUGAAGAAAGAAGGUAUUGCUUAAUUGAAUUUGAGUUUUUAAUAUAGUUUGGGAGGGUUAGAUGGAAUUUUUUGUAUAAACCCGUGGCCUUGCUUUGGUUUAGUUUAGCAAGGGUUUGUAGUUGUCUUUUAGCUCAUUCAGUUGUUGAAUUGGAGCUUUCUCUGUAUGCUUGUGAUGUAUUUUUUUAAAUCUAUCAAUACAACACCAGUUGAUUAAA